UAUGAAUUUUCAUAAUUGGAUGAUAUGGAUUUUAUAUCUCAUACCAAUCUAAACUUGUUUAGUUUUAACUAUAGAAUAGAUUCUCAUACUUAAGUGGUAGUAUGGAUUAUGAAUCCUUACAGGAGAGGUGGGUAUGACUGUAUGAGAUUCCAAUGGAAUGAGGUGGAGUUAGAAUCCCCAAGUAUGAGAUUUCAUACUUAAAUAGCCCAAUCAAACAAAUAAAAUCAUGAAAUGGAUUCAUUCCAAAAAAUUCAACCAAACACCCCUUUACUAAAAUAUGAGAAUUUCUAUUGUAGCUUAGUAAUAGUGUAUUCCCCGUUAUGCCCUCAAUGCAUGAAAUUACUUGUUUGCCCUUGGCCCAAUUAAUUUGAUGAGUGAACUUUAGGGUGGCUUAGCUGGCUUUCUGAUUGUCUGUGAAGCAAACAUGUGUCCUUUCUUCUUUGAGAAUCAGCACAUAUGAAUUUGUUCAUCAUCUACUUUGUGGUCUUCAUCAAAGGUAGCUUGUUCUCAACAACUUCAACCUUAACCGCCAUUGUUACUCAAGCUUUUGCGCUAUUCUUCGUCAUUCACUUCACUGCUUUCUUGCAACUCCAUUUCUACUACUACUUCAAUUUCAUAAUACUUCGCUUGAUUCAACCUUUCUUUGGUAGAACUUCAGUUGUUCGUUCUUAAUCGAAUUUACGGCUUUCUUCUGCUUCGGUUACAAUGGCGACUUUUCUCGGUAGUGGCUUCUGGGUAUUUUUGUUAAUUGUUGAUGGUGGCUGCUUUAGCUGGCGGAGCUUAUGGGGUUGGUUUGCUUGUGCUUUUGGCCCUCGCUGUGCUCUUGCUGUUUCGCUGAGGUUGCUUCAGCUCAAAUGCCUCGCAAUUCUAGAACACGAAUAGGCAGGAGGAGUGGUGCGUUUGGAGAACAACCUGUACGCCAUUUUAGUCAGUGAUUUAGGAAAUUUUCGGACCAGAACGCGUAAAACGAAACGCAUAGAUCAGACCAUAAAGCUCCCUGCUGCCACUAUUGAUUUACCUUUGCCAGCAGAAUCUCUGAAACUACCAGCUCCUCACUACUGCCACCAUUGUUUCGCAAAGAAAUUAGCAUCAUAAACAAAACAUUUUUGUUGUGGAGAUGGAGAUAUCGAAAUUGCUGUGAAUGAAUACCCACCAGAACUUGCACAGUUGUUUACAUCGCAAGAAGAAGAUGCAGUGCAUUUCAGAAAAUAUGCUCGCUUAUACAAUAACUCAUUCACAUUUAGUUCGUUGGGUGGGAAUUUUGAUGCUAGCAAAUACAAAGGAGUAUAUGUGUUCAAGUUACAUGGGAAGCUGUAUCAUUUUGUCGCAGUUCUUCUUCCAGGAGAUGAUCAGCCAAAGUAUUUGCAACUAUACUUUUAUGAUGGAAAACAUGAAGCUGAAAACAAGGUUGGGAGCUUUCCAGAAAUUCGAGAAGAUAUCAUCGCUAUUUUGAUGCGCAUAUCGGAGCAUAACCCUUAUGCUCAUUUCUUUCGCUCUUUGAGGGAAGUUGAAGUAACAGAAGAAACUCAGAUUAGCCUGAAUCAAAAUGCGGUGCCUGAUCAACGUGUAUACAAUGCUCCAACAACUGAUGAAGUGGCUGAUUUUUGGCCUGAAAGCGCAUCAUCAAGCCAUAGCGCUAGCCCUCAUGUUAUGGUUUCAGGCAAAUCUAAUGUCUCUCAUCGUAUCUAUCACCAUUAUGGGUGCUAUGAUCCCCUACAGUAUCCUGGGUUAAAAAAAAAAAAAUCUUGGGGCGAUCGUCAACAAUUGGCCACACAAGUAGAUCCUGUGCUGUCUUGUUCUGUUCAUAAUGCUGAAGAUCUCUUGGAUGCAGAGGCGUCGCGAGCAUCUGGAAAGCGUACAAAAGCCGAUAGAUACAUUUCUUCUAGAGACUAUUAUGCUUUUUUAUUGCAGAUGCGGGCUGGGAACAUGUUGCUGCGAGCUGGUAGACUCUUGCAGUAAUAUAUCGUAGACAUGUAUGUAAAGAUGGAAAACACUAGAUUAGACUAUUUUCGUAAUAACCAGGCAACUAUAAGAUCAGACCUUUACCAAGGUAUAUUAGAUUCUUUGCAGGGGGGUGAGGCAUUAGCAUAUAAUGUCGGUCAAAGGGUUAUUUGCCACCAACUUUUAUAGGUGGACCCCGAGAUAUGAAAAGGCGUUAUUUGAAUGCCAUGGCCUUGGUUCAGAGAUAUGGAAAGCCAGAUGUGUUUGUCACAAUUACAUGUAAUGCAAAUUGGCCGGAGAUUAAAGCUGAGCUAGCCCUUGGUGAGUUAGCGCAAGACCGGCCAGAUCUUGUGGCAAGGGUGUUCCGAGCAAAACUAUUAGCUCUGAAAAGAGAAAUUAUGGAGACUGAAGUCUUUGGUGAGGUUGCCGCAAUGAUCUACGUUAUUGAAUUUCAGAAACGAGGUCUUCCUCAUGGUCAUUUCUUGAUUAUUUUAAAGGGUGCAUCAAAGCUGAAGUGUCCAGAGAAUUAUGACAAGUUCGUAUGUGCAGAGAUUCCAUCUACAAGUGAUCCAGUCUUACGGAAAAUUGUCCUUAAGCAUAUGAUGCAUGGUCCUUGUGGAUAUUUGAAUCCUCAAUGUUCUUGUAUGCGUAAAAAGCAUAAAAAGGCAACCUGUAAGUAUGCUUUCCCUAAAAAAAUUUCAAGUCAGACAACAACUAAUGAUGAUGGAUUUCCAACAUAUCGUAGAAGAGACAAUGGCGAAAAGGUCACAGUAAGAGGGGCUCAGCUUGAUAAUCGUUGGGUGAUUCCUAUAAUCCAUAUCUCUCUGUUCUGUUUGAUUGUCAUCUAAAUGUCGAGGUAUGCUCUACAAUAAAAGCUGUUAAAUAUCUGUACAAAUAUGUGUACAAGGGGCACGACAAAAUUUCUUAUAAUGUUGUUCCUACAAAUGGUGAAGUUAUUGAUGAGAUCCAGCAAUUUCAGUCAGGGAGAUGGGUUUCACCUUGUGAAGCUGCAUGGAGAAUUUUCACAUUCGAUUUGUUUGAGAUGUACCCUCCAGUUCUCUUGCUGCAGGUGCACUUGCCAAAUCAGCAAACUGUGCACCUACAUCCAGCUGAACGUCUAAAUGCUGUUGUUGCAAAUUCCAGACGUUCAUGUACACAGCUCACUGAAUUCUUUGCUAUGAAUGCUGCCAUUCCUGGAGGAUUAGGGUAUCUAUAUGCUGAGUUUUGUGAACACUAUAGAUGGGAUGCAUCGAAUAAACAGUGGAUUAAGAGAGCCAGUAACAAAUUUCAAGUGGGUCGUUUAGCUUUUGUCUUUCCAGCAGAAGGAGAGCGAUUUUACUUGCGAUCAUUGCUGCUGCAUGUUCGGAGUCCAGCAUCAUUUGAACAUCUCAGAACUGUCAAUGGAUCUGUCUGCUCUACUUUCAGGAAGCUGCUCUAAAACUAGGAUUACUGGAGGCCAAAGAUCUUGCAAAUUUGUGUUUGCAUGAAGCUUGUGAAGUGCAGAUGCCAGCUGCUUUAAGGCGCCUCUUCGCAACCCUACUAAUUUUUUGUCAGCCAAGUGACCCUGUGUCUUUAUGGACCAAGUAUUAUCCAUUUCUAUCUGAUGAUUUCAGCCAUCAAUUUCCAGGUGAUUUGUCUAAAGUUCGACAGCUAACUGUUAGAUCUAUUGAAAAAGAUCUUGAAGCAAUGGGCAGAUAUCUAAAAGACUUUGGAAUUGACGAGAUAGAAGAGGAAUCUGACUCAGAGCUACGACGAACCAAAGACAUUAUUGAUGCUCUGGAUGCACCCAUUCCUCAAGAAUGUAUAGAUUGCAAACAACACUUGAAUCCAGCUCAGAAAGCUGCUUUUACUUGCAUCAUGCAAUAUGUCACAGAUAACCAACCAGGUGCCUUUUUCAUUGAUGGUCCUGGAGGUACAGGGAAAACCUUCCUGUACAUUUCGCUGUAUGCUGAAAUUAGGCUCAUGAACAAGAUUGUAUUGCCCACAGCUACAUCUGGAAUAGCUGCUGCAAAUAUUCCUUUUGGUCACACAGCACAUUCUAGGUUUAAGAUUCCAAUCGAUUCUGAUGCUUCUUUGGCAUGUGCUGUUCCUAAACAAGGCAGCCUUGCAGCACUUCUAAAAGAAACAGCUUUGAUAAUCUGAGAUGAAGCUUCAAUGGCACAUAAAGAGAACCUUAAAUCUUUAGAUAUAUUGCUGCAAGAUUUAUGUGAAAAUAAGGCUUUGUUUGGCGGCAAACUUGUAGUGUUUGGGGGAGAUUUUCAACAAGUUUUACCAAUUGUCCCGCACAAGACGCAACGGGCGGCUGUUCAAGCUAGCGUUGUUACUUCUUACUUGUGGCCUAAGCUUAAGAUAUUUAAACUCACUGAAAAUAUACGAGCUCUAGAUGAUCCUCAGUAUUCUGCAUUUUUGCUGUCUUUGGGAAAUGGAGAACUACAGCAGUCAGAAAAUGAGUAUGUUCAAUUGCCAGUGGAAAUUGUUAAACCUCUUGUGACGGAUACAAAUCCUAUCAAUGAAAUAACAAAGGCCACAUAUCCAGAAUUGAGUUUAGGAAUGUUUGGAAGUGAUAUCUUUACCAAACGAGCUAUUCUUACACCAAUGAAUGAUGAUGUUGAUCUUAUAAAUUCAGCAAUGAUUGAAGAUUUCCCUGGUGUUCCUGUUGUUUACAAAAGCUUUGAUAACAUUCUUGAUGACAUGUGCACUGUGUACCCAACAGAAUUUCUAAAGCUGUGCCCUGGGGGAAUGAGCCCCCAUGAACUGGUAUUAAAGGAAAAUUGUCCUGUGAUUUUGCUGCGCAAUAUACUUCCUUCUUCUGGUUUAUGUAAUAUUGUAAUGGUACGCGACUCAUAUGUAAGAGAUUUCGACCAAAUGUUAUUGAAUGUGUUAUAGCUGUUGGUCGGUAUGCUGGAAAACAUGUGUUCAUACAUAGAAUUCGCCUAAGAUCUUCUGCUUCAUCAAAGUAUCCUUUCCAGUUUGAAAGAAACCAGUUCCCAAUAAAACUCAGUUUUGCAAUGACCAUAAACAAGUCACAAGGGCAGACCCUUAAUCAGGUGUCUGUGUUUCUUCCUCGGCCAUGCUUUUCUCAUGGGCAGUUGUACGUUGCUCUCUCUAGAACGAAGAAAGCUAGCAAAAUAGCUGUCUACACUUCGCAGCCACCAGCGCAGUAUGCAGAAAAUUAUACUAAGAACAUUGUUCGUAUGAUGUCUUACGACUAGCUCGUAUAAUUCAAGGAUCCAGUAAUCUGUAGCUGCCGAAGUCUGCCAAUGGCAUGAACUUUUGAAGGUCACUCUCUAAUGGUGCAUUCCACUUUCGUACAUAGAACUCGCUGCAACACUAGCACCGGUGAUUCAAUUGCAAUGUAUCUUCUCAGCAACGGUUAAAGACUGCGCCUACUUUAUGUAAGCUUUUGUUAAAUCAGUUGUGCAAUUUCUUUUAGAGAGGUCUUACAUCACUUACAUUAGUUUGUGUUGUUUAAGAACCUUUAACUAUAAAACUAAACCAUAAUAUUUUGAGGGGUUUUAAAGGAUCUAGAUAGUAGUAUAUGUUCCUAGAAAACACCCAAGUACAACAUUAACUGUGCUUAGCAGUUUAUCUAAGCUUCUAUGUAUAAUGCUCAAUUAUUAAUAUAUGCCUAUUUCCGUUGCUGUUAGCUCUUAUCUCUGAUUGUAUAUAUGUUUUUAUUUUUGCUUUGAAGAUUAGCAUAUCAAAUUUGUUAAACCUAAACUUGUUAUUCUUUUGAUCUAGCUUGUUGUUGUCUACCUGUUGUAUUCUUGCAAUUGCAGCGUAAAGAAGCUGGGAUUAGGUGUUUUUUAGAGAGCAGAGUUCAUAUUUUUAAGGUGUGAUUUUGAUUUCAUUUAUUAAUUGAUUGAUUGUUUGAUUUUCAUUUGUACAGUUACUCUACUCUCUAACAUGUUCUUAAACCUAAAUUCGCUUUAAUGAUUUUUCUAAAGUCCAGCUUUUUUUUUUUGGGAUGGUUCUGUAUUUCAUUACCUGUUGUCAGUUUUUUAUUUGUUCCAAAAUGUUAAUUUUCUCAACACAAUUUUAUGAUAUUCUUGCAAUUUGCCUAUUUGGCUGUGCUGACUCAUCAGUUUGUUAUCAGUUUCUUCUAUUAACAAAGUGGAUACCUUUUCUUGUCUUAUACAAGUGAACUUGAUAAUGCAAAGAUAAUGGAAAAUUGGCAUGGACUGAAAGCUAGCAGAAUACUGGCUUGCUUACUAUUAUAUCAAUAUUCUCUGAGAUCAUGCCAAUUCUGCAACAAAUAGCCAAAGAGGUGGCACUUGGCUUCAUGGCGAAUAGAAGAUAUCAAACCAUGCAUCAGGAGCUGAUGAAUAGCACUCCUUCAAGCUCUAACAAGACUUCUGUCUUUGCUGAUUUGUUUGGCUCAUUUUGCUACACUUUUCAACACGAGAAGUUCAGUAGGCCAUAUGGGGAUAUGACUAGGGUAGAUGCUCGUUUGGAUAUCAAUCCAACUUCAGAUUUUGGUAAAAACAUCUGCCAUAGCUCAGUUGCUCACUAGGAUAACUUGGCAACUCUUCUAGGUAAAAUUCUUAAAGCAGACUUUAAAGUUGCAUGAGAGAAUAUGCACUGUUCUUUCCAGUUACCUCUGGUGGUAAGACUUGAUUUUUUACUUUUGUGUUCUGAACUACUGAUGAUUUUAAAAUAUAAACGGGUUAAUGUAUCAGGCUCUUUGCUAUAUUCGGAUAUUCCUGACAAAUGGAAAUGAACUUAAGACAUCAUAUAGGAUGAUAAGAGAUGAUCUAUUAAGUAUUUGGUUAGAAUUUAUUAGAUGUCAAUGUGGUUAGAACAUUCUAGAUUAUAAGAAUUGCCUGUUUAGGAGUCUUAAUUUAUUACCAUAGUAAUUUACAGCUCCAUUUUUUUCCGCAGUUCAUGCUAUGUGAAUAAAACAGAAAUUGCAGAAAAUACAAAGUCUAAUCUUUCAACCAGAACAAAGCAGGACUCCUAACCACACACAUGUAAAUAUCCUAUAACAUAAUAAUCUCUUGAAGACUUAUAACAGCCAUUGUUGAUGCCGUUUUCACCCACAUUACUUGCUAAAAUAAGAAAAUAUGCCAAAAACAGAUCUAAUUAUGCUUAAUCAUGGCUAUAGGUUCAUGAACACUAAAAAACAUAGGACUGCGUUUUUCGUUACUUCAGAAUUCACUGACAAUGUAAUAGAUGCUAGCCUUUAAAUGAUUAGCUUGCUCUACAUUAAAUCAUUGAUCACUAACUUGCACAAUAUAUAUUCAUUUCUACAGGAACAAGCCCUGGAUAUAUAUGGUGCUAAAUUUCACAAUCUUUGUGGCUCUAGCUCUAAGGAAAUUAAGAUGGCUGGAACAGGUUUGCCAGUUUAGCUAUCAGCUUCCCUUAUAAUAAUCUCAAUAUAAUCAAUUCAUAUAUUAUCUGGCCAAUUUAUUUGUGGAAGGGUUUUGUUCAAGUUUUUGUUUUGAUUUUAUAGUAACCACAUGUGACUGACUAAUUAGACUCCACAACAGAAACUAAUCUAAAAAAGGACAUAUGCAGUGAUAAGAAAUCGCAAACUGAACAAGCAAUAAGUUUGUGAAAGUUUUCUCUAUGACCACAAAAGAAACUAAUCUUGACUUCCUUUGCUUUCCACCUCAGCUUGCCAUCUACAAAAUACAUAUAAGUUAUUAAAAUAAUGAAGAUAAUUUAAUUGACUCUAAUUAGCCGCUUCAAAACAUAGGGUGUACACUCAGCUUAUCACUUUUUAUUAACUUGAUUACAACAUUUAGAUUUGAGUAAUCUAACAUUGCCAUUAUAUAAUGGGUUUAAUCUUCUACCUAGAAUUUUUUUUAAAAACAGAUUUAUAAUUUCAGAUGCUUACUUAGAAAUUACCCUUGACUAGAUCAAUCAUUGCAUAGUGUAUUAUGCCAAUUAGGUAUCUAAAUUUAUAUUAUUAGAUUGUAUGCAUGGAUUAGAUCAUACAUCACUUUAGAUUAACUUGGUUGCAAAGAUUGGAUAAGAUAGGGCUAAAACUCCUUUGUUCCAUUAUCUGAAUGGCACUUAUGAACUUUGCCAUUUCUUUAAAAAUCUGCUUCUUCCCAGUAGGGUACAACCUGUAUACUUGUCAAUGGGGUAUGUUAAGUAAUCGAAGUUCUCGGUUUAAAGUUUGACUCUCGAUGCAGGAUUUGCUUUUCGUACUUUUUGGGUGGUUUGACAGAUUUUAAGUGAGGUUUUGACAAGUUUUUUAAAUUUGUAUGAUAUGUUGUUUCUGAACUCAACUGUUCAGUUUUGGUUAUGAUUUGAAAUUUUAAAUUCAUCAAAUCUGUUGCUCAACUUUUGCCUAAACUCUGAUCUCUUAAAGAUAAAACAAAACACCCCGAUUAAUAUGAAGAUAGUCCUGUCGGCUGUCCCAGUUUCUUUUUGUUUUGGAGAAAAGUUUUAAAUUUUGUUGGAUAACAAUGUUGCCUGUCUUUUUUCAGAGAGGGAGAGAGGCAACUUUGAUUUCCAAAUAUUUGGAAAUAAGCUAAUACAACUACAGGUUACUUGAUUGCAAUAAAUGUAAAGAACGGGUUAUGCUAGAAAAUUUCACUUAAAAAGAUAAUGGUGCUGUUAGGGAAUUGGUAGUUGAUUUUGUGCAGGUUGAAAACAGAAGUGAGGAAAAACAAAAGAUUGUUUAAUCUGUGCCAAGGUCUGAAAUGAAUAUAUAUUAAGAUCAAAAAAUUUAGAGCUCAUGUGUUUUUGAGAACACAUACAAAGGCCCAUAUCAAACAAAUAACAAACAGCAACAUAUCUCAUAGAUGCCAGCUAAUUUGUCAUUAAUAAAUGCAAGAAUACUAAUAUAAAAUAAUAGUAUUGAUAACCCUAAAAAUUUCUAAAUAUUUUAAAAUGCGUAUGUAUGCAUUAUUAAUGUAUCAAAGCUUUAAUUCAACAAUCAACAACUUGUGAUGUAUCUAAAGAACAAGCUCACAAGUUGUUGAUUGUUGAAUUGAUAACCUUGGCAGGAAGGAUGUAGUAAUGAUAACCUCACUAGCAGUCAUGAUCACCCCUUGUUUGAUGAGGAGAAUGAGCUGUGUUCCAUGCAAAGCAGCAUAUAGGGGUAAGGUUUGUGCCAAGGUCAGUAAUUAGCUAAUUUCCUUGUACAUGAUUAUUGUUAGAUGUAAUACAACUAUUAUUUUAAAUUUUACUCGAACUGGGACGUGAAUCUGAAGGUGCAAACAUGCCAGGAUCCUUGAAACAGGCAAUGGAAGAAGAACUUAAGGAUCUUGUAGAAGCCUCUGAAGAAAGCAAAUAUUCACAAAACAAAGAGUUUGCUAUGUUCUAUGCUGAAGAAGAAGGACCUUCUGAGGCAGCUGAUUCACCAGGUCCUACUAAGAAAAGACCAAGAACUUCUCUCUUUUCUGAGCCAAAUUAUACAGCAAGCGAAGCACUCUCUUUAUCAGCAUCUCCAAAUCAAUUUGAUUCUGUCAUUGAAGCUCCAGCAACUGCUACCAAACCUGGUGUAGCCACUCCAGCAAAAAAAGAGACAUGCAAAGGAAGCUCGACUUCUGUCACUGAAGCUCCUGCCAUUGUUACAAAGUCUGUUAUAGGCACUCCUACACAGAAAGAACCAUGCAAGGAAAGCCCAACUUCAGUCACUGAAGCUCCGACCACUGCUACAAAUCCUUUUUUAGGCACUCCUGCAAAGAAAGAAGCUUCCAAGGGAAGCUUAACUUCUGCUUCUCCUAAUCAGCCUUGAGCUACUGAAGCUCACCUUUUGGCCUUGCUAAUCAGGCUUAACCUUUUGAAGCUCAGUCCCUAAUGGUGCAUUUCACUUAUCGUACAUAGAACUACCUGCAACACUAGCACCAGUUGAUUCAAUUGCAGUGUAUCCCCCUAGCAACGGUUAAUUUCUGCAGCUGCUGUGUGUAAAAUAUGGUUAAUCCAGCAGUGUAGUUUCUUUUGGAAAGGUCUUUAGAUACGCAUGUUAGUCUGUGUAGUCUUGAAACACCUACAUAUCAGACUUAAGCUAAAUAUUUUGAGGGGUUUUAAAGGAACAUAAACAGUAGUAUAUGUUCCUAGAAAACACCCAAGUAGUUUAUUGCCUAUGCUUAGCAGUUUAUGUAAGCAUUCUGUAUGAAACUUUAUUAUUAAUGUAUGCCUAUUGCCGUUGCUAUUA